rnacentral:rRNA from 1 species
UACGUAGGGUGCAAGCGUUAAUCGGAAUUACUGGGCGUAAAGCGUGCGCAGGCGGUUUUGUAAGUCUGAUGUGAAAUCCCCGGGCUCAACCUGGGAAUUGCAUUGGAGACUGCAAGGCUAGAGUGUGUCAGAGGGGGGUAGAAUUCCACGUGUAGCAGUGAAAUGCGUAGAUAUGUGGAGGAACACCGAUGGCGAAGGCAGCCCCCUGGGAUAACACUGACGCUCAUGCACGAAAGCGUGGGGAGCAAACAGG